rnacentral:ncRNA from 1 species
GCUGGUCAUCACAUCGACGAAAUUCGCCUGCUGUUCGCAGAUGAUGCGCGUAAUGCGAUCGCGAUCUUCGUGGGUCAACAGGUUGAUGUAGUUGUGCGCCAGUUCGUUACUCAGAAUAUUGGUGCCGUCGCUGAUGCGCAGGAUACAGAUGCCCACCGGCGCCGAGGCGACGAUCUUGCGGUUGAACUGUUCGUGUUCUUCCAGCCGGAAGGCAUUGUCCUCCGCCGGCAGGAACAUCUUGCGCUCAAACAGCCACGCCAGCGUGAACAGCACGAUGGCCGACAGCAGGUUCAGCAGCAGCGCGUUGAGGAUCAGCAUCUUGAAGCGUUCCACCACGCUUUUCACCGGCAGCGCAUAGACGAUGCUAAGCGAAGAAGGCGGCAGCGCUUUCUUCAGGAUCAGGUCGCGGUAAUUGUCGACAUAGCCGAAGUAGGCGUGCUCUGCGGGAUAGCUGUUGAGCGAAGCGGCAUAGCGAUCGCCA